AUCUCGUGGUGCGGACAUGCUAGGAUGUACUCCUGAAGUCACUCCCAAGCUUCAGGAAUGGUAUCAUUGGAUACUUGCUGAAAGCUCGAAAUCCUUCCACGAAGAG